AUUGAACGCUGGCGGCAGGCCUAACACAUGCGAGUCGAGCGGAUGAAGGGAGCUUGCUCCUGGAUUCAGCGGCGGACGGGUGAGUAAUGCCUAGGAAUCUGCCUGGUAGUGGGGGAUAACGUCCGGAAACGGGCGCUAAUACCGCAUACGUCCUGAGGGAGAAAGUGGGGGAUCUUCGGACCUCACGCUAUCAGAUGAGCCUAGGUCAGAUUAGCUAGUUGGUGGGGUAAAGGCCUACCAAGGCGACGAUCCGUAACUGGUCUGAGAGGAUGAUCAGUCACUCGGGAACUGAAAAACGGCCCAGACCCCUACGGGGGGCAGCAGGGGGGAAUUUUGGCAAAUGGGCAAAAGCCUGAUCCACCCAUGCCGCGGGUGGGAAGAAGGUCUUCGGAUUGUAAAGCCCUUUAAGUUGGGAGGAAGGCAAGUAAGUUAAUACCUUGCUGUUUUAACUUUACCAACAGAAUAAGCCCCGGCAAACUUCGG
rnacentral:rRNA from 1 species